UACGGGGGGGGCAAGCGUUGUUCGGAAUUACUGGGCGUAAAGCGCACGUAGGCGGACCAGUUAGUUGGGGGUGAAAUCCCGGGGCUCAACCCCGGAACUGCCUCCAAAACUGCUGGUCUGGAGGUCGAGAGAGGUGAGUGGAAUUCCGAGUGUAGAGGUGAAAUUCGUAGAUAUUCGGAGGAACACCAGUGGCGAAGGCGGCUCACUGGCUCGAUACUGACGCUGAGGUGCGAAAGCGUGGGGAGCAAACAGG
rnacentral:rRNA from 1 species